UACGUAGGGUGCAGGCGUUAAUCGGAAUUACUGGGCGUAAAGCGUGCGCAGGCGGCUCCUUAAGUCAGAUGUGAAAUCCCCCGGGCUUAACCUGGGAACUGCGUUUGAAACUGGGGAGCUAGAGUGUAGAAGAGGGGGGUGGAAUUCCAGGUGUAGCAGUGAAAUGCGUAGAGAUCUGGAGGAACACCGAUGGCGAAGGCAGCCCCCUGGGCUAACACUGACGCUCAUGCACGAAAGCGUGGGGAGCAAACAGG
rnacentral:rRNA from 1 species